GGCAUGGUGGUGGGUGCCUGUAGUCCCAGCUACUCAGGAGGCUGAGGCAGGAGAAUCACUUGAACCCAGGAGGCGGAGGUUGCAGUGAGCCGAGAUCACGCCACUGCACUCAAGCCUGGGCGACAGAGCGAGACUCCAUCCCAAAACGAAAAAAACAAAAAAACAAGAGAGUAUAAAGCCACAUCAACUAAUUGCAGCUGAGAACUUUAUCUGGGUCCAGAUUCAAACAAAUUGUUUAAGAAAGUUAUGACACAAUUGGGGAUUUGAACAAAUAUCAAAAACUUGAUGAUACUAAAGAAUUGUUUGGCCAGGGGCAGUGGCUCACUCCUGUAAUCCUAGCAUUUUAAGAGGCCAAGGUGGGUGGGUGGAUCACUUGAGCCCAGGAGUUCAAGACCAACCUGGGCAACAUGGCAAAGCAAAAAAUACAAAAAAAUUAGCCAAGCAUGAUGGUGUGCGCCUGUGGUUCCAGCUGAGUUAAGAGGAUCACCUAAGCCCAGGGAGAUUGAGGCUGCGGUGAGCUGUGAUUGCGUCACUGCACUCUAGCCUUGGAGACAGAGUGAGACACUGUCUUGAAUAACAAAUAAUAAUAACAGGAAGGGGAAGAGGUGGGAGUAGAGAUGGAGCAGAAUUGGCUAUAUAUUAAUCAUCACUGGGACAGGGAUGAUAGAUACAUGGGGGUUCCUCAUACCCUUCUGUACAUGUCAGAAACUCCCCAAAUUCAGAAAAUAAAAGCAAAAAAAAGGUAUUAGACAAGAUCUAAAAUAAUACAGACCAAUGGAUAAACAGACCAAUGGAUAAACAGUGGCUAUCUAUGGCUUUCUUUAGAUUACCUUUAUCUUCUUUUUUCUCUAACAAACAUGAAUUACUUUUAUAUUAGGAAAAAAUGUUAGCUUUCAAAGAAGAAAUACCUCAAUUCUUCAGAUAUGCCAGGGUUUACAGGAACAGUAUUUUGUUUUUUUGUUUUGUUUUGUUUUGUUUUGAGACAGAGUCUCACACUGUCGCCCAGGCUGGAGUGCAAUGGCAUGAUCUCGGCUCACUGCAACCUCUGCUUCCUGGGUUCAAGCGAUUCUCCUGCCUCAGCCUCCCAAGUAGCUAGGAUUACAAGCGCCCGCCACCACACCCAGCUAUUU
rnacentral:lncRNA from 1 species